rnacentral:rRNA from 1 species
CACUCCUGCGGGAGGCAGCAGUGGGGAAUAUUGGACAAUGGGCGCAAGCCUGAUCCAGCCAUGCCGCGUGAGUGAUGAAGGCCCUAGGGUUGUAAAGCUCUUUCACCUGUGAAGAUAAUGACGGUAACCGGAGAAGAAGCCCCGGCUAACUUCGUGCCAGCAGCCGCGGUAAUACGAAGGGGGCUAGCGUUGUUCGGAUUUACUGGGCGUAAAGCGCACGUAGGCGGACUAUUAAGUCAGGGGUGAAAUCCCGGGGCUCAACCCCGGAACUGCCUUUGAUACUGGUAGUCUUGAGUUCGAGAGAGGUGAGUGGAAUUCCGAGUGUAGAGGUGAAAUUCGUAGAUAUUCGGAGGAACACCAGUGGCGAAGGCGGCUCACUGGCUCGAUACUGACGCUGAGGUGCGAAAGCGUGGGGAGCAAACAGGAUUAGAUACCCCUGUAGUCCCAUGA